rnacentral:rRNA from 1 species
GGUCAAGCAAUCAAGGGCUGAUGGUGGAUACCUAGGCACACAGAGGAGAAGAAGGACGUAGCAACCUGCGAAAAGCUUCGGGGAGUGGGAAGCACACGAUGAACCGAAGAUAUCCGAAUGGGGCAACCCUAAAAACACACUACGAAAGUAGUGAUGAGCGAACCUGGUGAACUGAAACAUCUUAGUAGCCAGAGGAAGAGAAAACAAAAGUGAUUCCCCUAGUAGCGGCGAGCGAAGCGGGAAAAGCCUAAACCACUGUCUAAGGAGAGUGGGGUAGUGGGACAGUGAGAUCAGAAGUGAAAGUUAGAUGAAACAGCUGAAAACUGUACCAAAGAAGGUAAAAGUCCUGUAAUCGAAAACAGAAACGGAGUAACUGAAUCCCGAGUAGCACGGUAUAAGAGAAAUCCCGUGUGAAUCAGCCUCGACCACGAGGUAAGGCUAAAUACUACUGUGUGACCGAUAGAGAAAAGUACCGCGAGGGAAAGGUGAAAAGAACCCCGGAAGGGGAGUGAAAAAGAACAUGAAACCAUCAGCUUACAAGCAAUGGGAGUCCUAUUAAAAGGAUGACCGUGUGCCUGUUGAAGAAUGAGCCGGCGACUUACAGGUAGUGGCAGGUUAAGUGGAAAACACGAAGCCAAAGGGAAACCGAGUCUGAAGAGGGCGUGUAGUCACUAUUUGUAGACCCGAACCCGAGUGAUCUAACCAUGUCCAGGAUGAAGCUUCAGUAACAUGAAGUGGAGGUCCGAACCGACUAAUGUUGAAAAAUUAGCGGAUGAGGUGUGGUUAGGGGUGAAAUGCCAAUCGAACUCGGAGCUAGCUGGUUCUCCCCGAAAUGUGUUUAGGCACAGCGGUGUAGAAGGUUAAUGGGGGUAAAGCACUGUUUCGUUGCGGGCUGGGAGACCGGUACCAAGAUGAGACAAACUCAGAAUACCAUUAACUAUAGCACUAGUAAGACGGUGGGGGAUAAGCUUCAUCGUCAAGAGGGAAACAGCCCAGACCAUCAGCUAAGGUCCCCAAGUAUAAACUAAGUGAUAAAGGAGGUGGGAAUGCUCAGACAACCAGGAGGUUUGCCUAGAAGCAGCAAUCCUUGAAAGAGUGCGUAAUAGCUCACUGGUCAAGCGUUCCUGCGCCGAAAAUGAACGGGGCUAAGUUUAUCACCGAAGCUAUGGACAGGAAACUGUGGUAGGGGAGCGUUCUAUAUAGGGAGAAGCAUUAGCGGUGAGCAGAUGUGGACAGUAUAGAAGUGAGAAUGUCGGCUUAAGUAGCGAAAAUUAGGGUGAGAAUCCCUAACCCCGAAAACCCAAGGGUUUCUCCAGAAGGUUCGUCCGUGGAGAGUUAGCCCGGACCUAAGGCGAAGCGAAAAGCGUAGUCGAUGGUAAGCAGGUGAAUAUUCCUGCGCGGCGUUAUAGGAGUUAUGAACGGGACCCAUGAAAAAUAAGCACGUCCUAAGUGGAUUGGAAGUGGCGUAAGCUAUGUGUGUGUAAAGAUAGUGGCAAGAAAAGCGUUGAUAAUGAUGAAUAUAAUGUCCCGGUACCCGAAACCGACACAGGUGGGUGAGUAGAGAAUACUAAGGGGAGCGAGUGAACUCUCUCUAAGGAACUCGGCAAAAUGACUCCGUAACUUCGGGAGAAGGGGUGCCACCGAGAGGUGGUUGCAGUGAAAAGGCCCAAGCGACUGUUUAGCAAAAACAUAGGUCUCUGCGAACUCGAAAGAGGAAGUAUAGGGGCUGACGCCUGCCCAGUGCCGGAAGGUUAAAGAAGUUGGUCAGUCUUAGGAUGAAGCUAGCGACUGAAGCCCCGGUGAACGGCGGCCGUAACUAUAACGGUCCUAAGGUAGCGAAAUUCCUUGUCGGGUAAGUUCCGACCCGCACGAAAGGCGUAACGAUUUGGGCACUGUCUCGGAGAGAGGCUC